rnacentral:misc_RNA from 1 species
AACCGCCCGGUGCGGACCCGCAUGCCGGGUGGUGUGGGGGCUGGGGGAGAAAAACCCCCGGCUACCCGAU